rnacentral:rRNA from 1 species
ACACGAAGCUGGAAUCGCUAGUAAUCGCGAAUCAGAAUGUCGCGGUGAGUACGUUCCCGGGUCUUGUACACACCGCCCGUCACACCAUGGGAGUCGGGAAUGCCCGAAGUCAGUGACCCAACCUUUGGAGGGAGCUGCCGAAGGCAGGUCUGAUAACUGGGGUGAAGUCGUAACAAGGUAGC